CACGUUUCCCCUGUCCCGAACUACGUCGACUCUGAUUUCUGUGCCUGACACACUACGUAGGCCCAGGAUGCGAUGUCCUGCCGAGUUAGUUUCUGUUGUCUUUCUGUGUCUCUUUCCAGCCUUGUGAGUGCAGUUUGUGAGCAGUUUUUAGCAACCUUAUCCAUUCUUUUGUGCGUGGAUCCCGUCGAGUACGACGGAUGCGUAGGGGUGCUAAUACCUUCCCUUCGCAUAACCGAC
rnacentral:lncRNA from 1 species